rnacentral:rRNA from 1 species
AUUGAACGCUGGCGGCAUGCCUUACACAUGCAAGUCGAACGGCAGCAUGGAAGAGCUUGCUCUUCUGAUGGCGAGUGGCGAACGGGUGAGUAAAGCAUCGGAACGUACCGUGUAGUGGGGGAUAACGUAGCGAAAGUUACGCUAAUACCGCAUACGCACUGAGGUGGAAAGCAGGGGAUCGCAAGACCUUGCGCUAUACGAGCGGCCGAUGUCAGAUUAGCUAGUUGGUAGGGUAAAGGCCUACCAAGGCGACGAUCUGUAGCGGGUCUGAGAGGAUGAUCCGCCACACUGGGACUGAGACACGGCCCAGACUCCUACGGGAGGCAGCAGUGGGGAAUUUUGGACAAUGGGGGAAACCCUGAUCCAGCCAUGCCGCGUGAGUGAAGAAGGCCUUCGGGUUGUAAAGCUCUUUCGGCUGGGAAGAAAUCGCACAGGCUAAUACUCUGUGUGGAUGACGGUACCAGCACAAAAAGCACCGGCUAACUACGUGCCAGCCGCCGCAGUAAUAC